AACCAGCACAGACUGGCAUGCACCAGGUAUCUCUGGGCGAGUAUCUCUUUGAGAGUCUCACUCUCAAGCACAACUAGGCCU
rnacentral:pre_miRNA from 1 species